GAUGAAGAACGUAGCGAAAUGCGAUAAGUAAUGUGAAUUGCAGAAUUCAGUGAAUCAUCGAAUCUUUGAACGCACAUUGCGCCCGCCAGUAUUCUGGCGGGCAUGCCUGUUCGAGCGUCAUUACAACCCUCAGGCCCCCAGUGCCUGGCGUUGGGGAUCGGCGCGGCGCCCUCCGGGGCGCUGCCGGCCCCGAAAUUCAGUGGCGGUCUCGCUGUAGCCCUCCUCCGCGUAGUAGCACAACCUCGCGGCCUGGAGCUCGGCGGUGGCCAUGCCGUAAAACACCCCACUUCUGAAAGUUGACCUCGGAUCAGGUAGGAAUACCCGCUGAACUUAAGCAUAUCAAUAAGCGGAGGA
rnacentral:misc_RNA from 1 species